rnacentral:rRNA from 1 species
GCUCCUUGGUGAUUCAUAAUAACUUUUCGAAUCGCACGGCCUUGCGCCGGCGAUGGUUCAUUCAAAUUUCUUCCCUAUCAACUUUCGAUGUUUGGGUAUUGGCCAAACAUGGUCGCAACGGGUAACGGAGGGUUAGGGCUCGACCCCGGAGAAGGAGCCUGAGAAACGGCUACUACAUCCAAGGAAGGCAGCAGGCGCGCAAAUUACCCAAUCCCGAUUCGGGGAGGUAGUGACAAUAAAUACUGAUACAGGGCUCUUUUGGGUCUUGUAAUUGGAAUGAGUACAAUUUAAAUCUCUUAACGAGGAACAAUUGGAGGGCAAGUCUGGUGCCAGCAGCCGCGGUAAUUCCAGCUCCAAUAGCGUAUAUUAAAGUUGUUGUGGUUAAAAAGCUCGUAGUUGAACCUUGGGCCUGGCUGGCCGGUCCGCCUCACCGCGUGUACUGGUCCGGCCGGGCCUUUCCCUCUGUGGAACCUCAUGCCCUUCACUGGGUGUGGCGGGGAAACAGGACUUUUACUUUGAAAAAAUUAGAGUGCUCCAGGCAGGCCUAUGCUCGAAUACAUUAGCAUGGAAUAAUAAAAUAGGACGUGUGGUUCUAUUUUGUUGGUUUCUAGGAGCGCCGUAAUGGUUAAUAGGGAGAAUCGAGGGCAUCAAUAUUCAAUUGUCAGAGGUGAAAAUUUAUUGAAGACUAACUACUGCGAAAGCAUUUGCCAAGGAUGUUUUCAUUAAAGGAACGAAAGUUAUUGACUCAAGGGAUCAGAUACAGGCGUAGUCUUAACCAUAAACUAAGGGAUCGGACGAUGUUAUCCGUUCGCCCGUUCGGCACCUUACAAACAAAGUGCUUGGGCUCCAGGGGG